AGGAUUAACGCUGGCGGCGUGCCUGACACAUGCAAGUCGAACGAGGCCGCAAGGCCGAGUGGCGGACGGGUGAGUAACACGUGACCAACCAACCUCGAAGUUGGGAAUAGCUCUGCGAAAGUAGGGGUAAUACCGAAUGUGGCCCAGGGCGGGCAUCCGCCUUGGUCUAAAGAUUCAUCGCUUCGAGACGGGGUCGCGGCCUAUUAGCUUGUUGGUGAGGUAACGGCUCACCAAGGCGAUGAUGGGUAGCUGGUCUGAGAGGACGACCAGCCACACUGGGACUGAGACACGGCCCAGACUCCUACGGGAGGCAGCAGUGAGGAAUCUUCCGCAAUGGGCGAAAGCCUGACGGAGCAACGCCGCGUGUGGGAUGAAGACUCUAGGGUUGUAAACCACUGUCGGAGGGGACGAUCGUGACGGUACCCUCCAAGAAAGCCCCGGCUAACUACGCGCCAGCAGCCGC
rnacentral:rRNA from 1 species